AACGAACGCUGGCGGCAUGCCUAACACAUGCAAGUCGAACGCUACCGUCUGGUCUAGUUGCGAACGGGUUCGUAACGCGUGGGAACCUUCCCUUAGGUUCGGUAUAACUCCCCGCAGGGGGUGCUAAUACCGGAUAAUGUCUUCGACCCAAUGAUUUAUCUCCUUUGGAUGGGCCCGCGUUGGAUUUGCUAGUUGGUAGGGUAAAAGCCUACCAAGGCGACGUUCCAUAGCUGGUCUGGAAGGAUGUCCAGCCACCCUGGGGCUGCGACCCGUCCCGGACCCUUAGGGGAGGAAGAAGGUGGGACUAUGGGACAAUGGGCGAGAGACUGAGCCAGCAAUGUCGUGUGAGUGAUUAAGGACUUAGGGUCGUAAAGCUCUGUUACCCGGGAUGAUAAUGACAGUACCGGGAGAAUAAGCGCCGGCUAACUACGUG
rnacentral:rRNA from 1 species